CUCUGAGGGUACAGUCAAGUUCCGAUUCGAUCGGAAUUAUUCUUCCCCUCUAACAGGAGUUUACAAUCUUACGACAUUCAUCCUCCACGCGGCGUUGCUGGGUCAGGCUUUCGCCCAUUGCCCAAUAUUCCUC
rnacentral:rRNA from 1 species